GCGGAUGUGGCGGAAUUGGUAGACGCACUGGAUUUAGGUUCCAGCGCCGCAAGGCGUGGAGGUUCGAGUCCUCUCAUCCGCACCA
rnacentral:tRNA from 11 species